AGAAGGAAAGUGAAUUAUAAAGUACUGUAGACUGUGAAAGGCGACAAAGCCACUUUCUAUAACCUCUACUCUCUAUACAAAGAUUCAGCAAACAAACAAGGCAGACACAGAAAUGGACUCAUCGAGUCUAAUUUCCUGCAGCACAAUGAACCAAUAAACUGCGCAGUAGAAAAAUAUUCCAUCCACCUCUUCAAACAUUAUGGAAAAAAAGCUAAAACCAAAGCAAAUGGUUCACAUACAACAGACGUGGUUACUGACCAGAAUCUGAACGGACCGGGCUGCGAGGAGGUUUUCACUGUGACGGCCAGGCUCAUGGCUUCCCUGCUAUAUGAAAAUCAGACCUAACUCCCUAGAGCAGGUGUAUGUAUCAGACUUUACAGGGCAGGAGCAAUAAUGUUCUACCAUGUUCAUCACACAACAGAUUACCAAGCAGAACUGUGGAGUAGGGAUGGACCUCAGAAGACCGUCAUUGAAUGGUUGCUGGGCUUCAGACAUCAACUCAAGUGAUACGAUGGCUACAAGCCAUAGCAGCAAAACCAUUCAACGAUAUAGCCAUUUAAUGGUUACUAUGUGCGCAUUCGCAGAAACAGUCAGAGUUUAGCGCAUGCUUUAAGCUGAGAUGCGGACACUACUUCCAUGUCUCCGCAGCUGCAAAUAAUUUUCAGCCAUUGGAUGGGUAAGCCAGACCUUCGACUCCUUCAUAAAUUGAAAAUGUAUAAUUAUUAUUGUUAUUAUCAUCAUUUAUUUAUAUGGUGCCGCAUGGGAUCCGUAGCGCCCAAUUACAGAGUUAUCAAAUAAGCAAAACCUGAAGACAGUGACUUACAGUUCAAUACAAUAUAGGACAAGUACAGGGUAUAUAAACAUAGCUGCAUCAGUAAACAGCACUGAAAUAAGUAUCAGGGUGGCAGAAAGCCGAAGGAUAUCACGCCAUCAAGGGAGUAUUUAAAAGAAGAUAGGUUAAGUAAGAGACGUAAAAGCACGGGGGAAGAUGACCCUGCUCGUGAGAGCUUACAUUCUAAAGGGGAGGGGCACACAAACAGGGGUGACACAGAUGGGGUAGAAAGUGAGCGUGAGCCACAGAAUGCUUAGGAUGAGAAACGGCUGGGUUUGGUGAAAAAGUGGGUUUUGAGAGGCCGUUUGAGGUUUUGUAGAGAGGUGGGGAGUCUGAGGGGGAGAGGUAGAGAAUUCCAGAGAAAUGGAGCAGCACGUGCAAAAUCUUGGAGGUAGGAGUGGGAGGAGGUAACCAGAAGGCAGGAGAGGCAGAGUGCAUUAGCAGAGCGAAGAGGACGGGCGGGAGUGUAAAGGGAGAUAAGGUCAGAGAUGUAGAUGGGAGAGGAGUGGGUGAGGGCUUUGUAAGUGAGUGUGAGAAGUUUGAAAUGGAUUCUGAAGGGGAAGGGGAGCCAGUGAAGGGCUAGUAAGAGAGGGGAGGUGGAUGUAGAGCGUUUGGUGAGGAAAAUGAUCCGGGCAGCAGAACGGAGGACAGAUUGGAGUGGAGAGAUGUAUGUGUUAGGGAUGCCAGUCAGGAGGAGAUUACAGUAGUCCAGUCUGAAGAUGACCAGUGAGUGGAUAAGAGUCUUAGUGGCAUCCUGGGUGAGAAAGGGUCUGAUCCUGGAAAUAUUUUUGAGAUGAAAAUAAUUAGUAAUCUGCAACUAUUCUUUAACUUAAUCGUUUUCCGAAUAAAGAACAAAUACUGCUG